rnacentral:rRNA from 1 species
GGCUACAUCAAAUUGAAACACCAGUUUCCGUACGAUCACCGAAGUUAAGCAACGUCGAGCUUUGUCAGUAUCUAGAUGAGUGACCGCUUCAGAAUAACAGGUGCUGUAA